UCCCUUUAGACAAUAGACUGAAACACCAUAGUAAUAGUUUCCCCCCUAAACCGCUAAAUCAGGGAGACUAAGUUCCUCUAACUACGUGGCUUGCUACGAGGCGGUGUAGUUCUGACAGAAUUCACUAGAACUUCUCAAGAUGUCCAAGAUUGCAACCAUACUCUGAUACCAACUGACACACCCCGUCCCGAAGGAGGGCAUGCUGGCCGUCACGUGAGAGUGACGUAACCAUUUGCACAGUACGGAAGCUUUAAGAUACAAUUUAUAAGUUGAUACACCCGAAGGUGAGUCCUAAUUUUGUCCAAUCUGUCAGAACACCGUCAAAUUCCUCGUAGUCACCACACCUUUGUGAUUCCUGAACCUGGAGGGGCGCAAAACCAAAAUUGAGUGGGUCAGUAAAACCAUUCUUUUCCAAAUCCAAACAUUUCUCAAAACGUUGUAACCCCUCUCCGUAAAACCCGUAUACUUUCCCAGAAAUGUAAAAUAUAAAUAUACAUAUAUAUUCUCAAGACUUCAAGUCAUUAACUCAACAUUUUCAUCAUAAUUAUGCCAUGCCAAAUCAUCUCAACAUUUCUCAUAUUAAUUAUGCCAUGCCACAUCAUCUCAACAGUAAUAAGGUAUGAAUGCAUCAACAUAAAUCAUAUCAGGUGCAAUAAAGUAAUCAACCGGAGGCCCUCUAUUAGCCCGGUUGAACCUAGAGCUCAAAAUCUAUCACUCUCACACUCUGCCGGAGUCACUCCGCGUGACCUGUUCGGCCUUCUGCACACAAGUUACGCUCUAGUGCUUUCUCAUCAAUCAUCUGUGCACAUAAUCUAAGGUCACCCACCAGUCGGAAUCUCACUAACACUCUCGCGACUGGCCUGUCGUACCCACUCCGCGUGGACUGUACGACUAGCAUCUACUUGGAUCCAAGACGAGCGUGCGAUGCGGUGAAUACUAUAAGCACUAAACCAUGGUGCAGGAUUUGAGCUCAAUAUACAUUAACAUCAUCAUAUCAGUAUUUAAAUACUCACCUGAUACUCACCUGUGCGUCCGCCGCACCAUUCAUUCAUAUGCAUCAUAUCUCAAUUUCAUACUUUUCAUAUCAUUUCAUGCAUGGCAAUUCGAUUCACAUUUCUAUAUACUUUUCAUAUACUUUUAUGCAUGGCAUCUCAAUUCACAUUUCAAUAUACUUUUCAUAUAAUUUUUAUACAUUGCAUUUAAAGCAUACUUUCCUUCAAUUUCAAUUUCUGGGAAAACGUCAAGUAUAUAUAUAUACGGAAAACAAAACUGCCCACUCACCUGGAGUUCGCCCUACAACUCCCUAGCACAAUACGCCAAGGCGUCAUGACGAUCGGCGCCUAAAACAAUAAUCAAUUCCAACCUCAGAAUUCAUAUCGAUAGAAUAUAUAACUUAUAUAAAAUACGUCACUACGUAGUUCAAUCCGGAAGAUCCACCACUCAGAUUUUAAAUCCAUAACUUCCAGAGGUCCACAAUAUAUCUCUAGGAUAACAUCCUAAAAUUUCAUUACCAUCCAACGGUCGGAUCAUCAAUUCACAUUUUCACCUAAUGCGAAAACUAUAAAACGUUAUUCGAACACCUAACCAACAAUCCUUAAUAACUUUCUCAUACGGUGCUCAACUUGGGUAUAUGAAUAUACCACAGUGAUCUACUCGACGUCACGGACGUCGACAUAUUUUUAAAAUAAUUUUUUACUGUAGCACGCGCCCCCACGCGCCAAGGAAGGCACGGGUCCACGCGCGCCCACGCGCACCUUCUUCCUCGCGGGUUCGCCGGACUGGUUUUUCCGGUGGCCGGAAAACUGGGGAAUUUUCAAAUGCUUCGUUCUCCUUCGUUUCUCAACCAUUUUCUUCGUAUAAUAUAUCAAUUUAAAGCCCUCAACAUGUAGAAUCACAAUAUACUACUUUUAAGCUUCAAAAACAACUAAAUCUCACCGGAAAAAUCCAAGCAAAACCGGCCAAACUUAACCCUCGUGAUCCCGACGUCCAAAUCCUUCCAACGAAGCACUCCGAGCUUCCUUGGGACCUCACUAAGCUCACUAUGAGCUUGGAUUGUCCUAAAAAUCAACCAAUUCAAAGCUCAUGAACAGUACACAUUCACGGCAACUUUAGAAACUAGGGUUUUCGAAGUGAAACUUACCUUAAACUGGUACCUACGUGAUCGUGGAGUCCUCAGGAGUGCAAUGGUGGUUUUAAAUCCGGCGUUGGUAAUAGUUUUAGGUGGUUUUGAUGGUUGCCCGUGUGUUCGAGAGGGUGAGAGAGAGAGAGUGAGGUCUGAGGAAGAGAGAGAGAGUAUGAAGGACAGUAUACGGGAAAUAGGGAGGGAAAUAAGGA
rnacentral:lncRNA from 1 species